UGACCUCGGAUCAGGUAGGAAUACCCGCUGAACUUAAGCAUAU
rnacentral:rRNA from 24 species